rnacentral:rRNA from 1 species
AAGUUUUUCUAAAGGGGCGCAUGGUGGGAUCCUUUGGCAACAGGGAGCCCGAAAGAAAGGGACGUGGGGGAAUCUGCGAUAAAGCCUGGGUGGAGUCGAUAACCGGACGUGAGACCAGGGAUUUCCCGAAAUGGGGGAAACCCCCGCACGACGUGUCGUGUGACCCCCCGGUU